rnacentral:rRNA from 1 species
AACGAACGCUGGCGGCAGGCUUAACACAUGCAAGUCGAGCGCCCCGCAAGGGGAGCGGCAGACGGGUGAGUAACGCGUGGGAACGUACCUUUUGGUUCGGAACAACUCCGGGAAACUGGAGCUAAUACCGGAUAAGCCCGAACGGGGAAAGAUUUAUCGCCGAAAGAUCGGCCCGCGUCUGAUUAGCUAGUUGGUGAGGUAACGGCUCACCAAGGCGACGAUCAGUAGCUGGUCUGAGAGGAUGAUCAGCCACACUGGGACUGGGACACGGCCCAGACUCCUACGGGAGGCAGCAGUGGGGAAUAUUGGACAAUGGGCGCAAGCCUGAUCCAGCCAUGCCGCGUGAGUGAUGAAGGCCUUAGGGUUGUAAAGCUCUUUUGUCCGGGAAGAUAAUGACUGUACCGGAAGAAUAAGCCCCGGCUAACUUCGUG